rnacentral:misc_RNA from 1 species
UACAGAGGGUGCGAGCGUUAAUCGGAUUUACUGGGCGUAAAGCGUGCGUAGGCGGCUUUUUAAGUCGGAUGUGAAAUCCCCGGGCUUAACUUGGGAAUUGCAUUGGAUACUGGGAAGCUAGAGUACGGGAGAGGAGGGUGGAAUUCCAGGUGUAGCGGUGAAAUGCGUAGAUAUCUGGAGGAAUACCGAUUGCGAAGGCAGCCAUCUGGCCUAAUAUUGACGCUGAGGCACGAAAGCAUGGGGAGCAAACAGG